ensembl:Mt_tRNA
AGGAAUUUAGGUUAACAUCCCAGACCAAGAGCCUUCAAAGCUCUAAGCAAGUGAAUCCACUUAAUUCCUG